GAUCAACGCUGGCGGCGUGCCUAAUGCAUGCAAGUCGGACGCGGCCUCCUUCGGGGGGUUGGCGUGGCGGACGGGUGAGGAGCACGUGGGGAACCUGCCCUGGGGUGGGGGUAGCCCUCGGAAACGGGGGGUAAUUCCGCAUGCACUCAACGGGCAGUAGGCGCGUUGAGGAAAGCCGGGCAACCGGCGCCCUGGGAUGGUCCUGCGUCCGAUUAGCUGGUUGGUGGGGUAACGCCUACCAAGGCGGUGANCGGUCGCUGGUCUGAGAGGACGGCCAGCCACACGGGGACUGAGACACGGCCCCGACUCCUACGGGAGGCAGCAGCAAGGAAUUUUCCGCAAUGGGCGCAAGCCUGACGGAGCAACGCCGACGUGGGGAGGACGCUUUUCGGAGUGUAAACCCCUUUUCUCGGGACGAACGCAAUGACGGUACCCGAGGAAGAAGGACCGGCUAACUACGUGCCAGCAGCCGCCGCAGU
rnacentral:rRNA from 1 species